UUUUCCUACCGGCGAAAAACAUGAAAAAAAAGCCAUUGAAAUAGGAAAUAGGAAGAGUAGCUAAUACACACUCUUUGACUAUGCGCAUAGCUUUAACCAAAGAACGUAUAUGAUUCAUAUACGUUCUUUGCUUUAACUUUUUAGAAUUAGUUUUAACAGAUAUGGCAGCACAUUGAGGAAUGAAAGCACAAAAACGAAAAUCAACAAUUUGACGUUUUUCUUUGGGUGAGAUAAAAAAGAGAAAACCAAGACGAAAACAAAUAAAACGAAUAUCAUAUGUCUCGUAGAUAAAGAAAAAAUAACUAAUUAAUGUAACCAGAGAGGGGUGGCGUGUCCAAUUAACAGCCCCAUCCCAUAUACAUACACACAUAUUAUUGGGGAGUAACUACGUAAUACACCUCACUAUUCGUUAUCAGAAUUUUCGAUGAAGUUUUGGAGAAAUGAGAUUUUCAGUUCCGUGUAAAAGAGCACACGAUCAAAUCUUCCUGUGUUUACACUUAAUCACGUAAACAAAAAAUUUUAAGGAAUUCGUAAAUAAGUGCAGCACAGAAAUUAUCUAGAAUUAUUAACACCUUUAAAAAAUGAAACAAAUGUAAAAUUAAUUCAGCAAUUCGUUGUAUUUACAAGGCAUAUACCAUCAAAAUUUACAUGUCAAUAAGAAUUCUACGAGUAUAUAUUCCUACAUACAUAAAUACAUACGUAAGCGUGCAGGUGAUGGCUGUUUAGUUUAUGAUUAUUUAAUUAAACAAAAAUUUUAAUUGUCCAAACAAAACAAAAAAAA